rnacentral:rRNA from 1 species
GACAGAGGAUGCAAGCGUUAUCCGGAAUGAUUGGGCGUAAAGAGUUGCGUAGGUGGCAUAGUAAGUUUAAUAGUGAAAUCGUGUGGCUCAACCAUACUCACAUUAUUAAAACUACUGAGCUAGAGAAUGAGAGAGGUUACUGGAAUUCCAAGUGUAGGAGUGAAAUCCGUAGAUAUUUGGAGGAACACCGAUGGCGUAGGCAGGUAACUGGCUCAUUUCUGACACUAAGGCACGAAAGCGUGGGGAGCAAACGGG